rnacentral:lncRNA from 1 species
AGAGUUGGAACUUGGAAGAAAGACAGUCCGAAACAUCGAUGUAACAAUCACCUUGGAGAACAAGGAAUUCUGAAACACGGACACAAGCAAUGAUCAUUAAUCCUUACGUUGGAAGUUCACACACACAUAGAGCCAAUGGUCAUUAAGACUUAACUUGGAAGUUGGGAGGAAGAAAGUCUGAAACAUCGAUCAUCGAAAAUUCGAAGCCACCACCUUGAAUUCCAAAAUUGUCAGCGUGUAGGAGAAAUAUUACUAAUCUACAACUUCCUCAAUUAGAUUUUCGUAUCAAUUGAUCGAUUUUAUUUGGUGAAAAAAACACACAAAGACGA